UAGGGAAUCUUCCGCAAUGGGCGAAAGCCUGACGGAGCAACGCCGCGUGAGUGAUGAAGGUCUUCGGAUCGUAAAACUCUGUUAUUAGGGAAGAACAAAUGUGUAAGUAACUAUGCACGUCUUGACGGUACCUAAUCAGAAAGCCACGGCUAACUACGUGCCAGCAGCCGCGGUAAUACGUAGGUGGCAAGCGUUAUCCGGAAUUAUUGGGCGUAAAGCGCGCGUAGGCGGUUUUUUAAGUCUGAUGUGAAAGCCCACGGCUCAACCGUGGAGGGUCAUUGGAAACUGGAAAACUUGAGUGCAGAAGAGGAAAGUGGAAUUCCAUGUGUAGCGGUGAAAUGCGCAGAGAUAUGGAGGAACACCAGUGGCGAAGGCGACUUUCUGGUCUGUAACUGACGCUGAUGUGCGAAAGCGUGGGGAUCAAACAGGA
rnacentral:rRNA from 3 species